AUCCAUAUUUAUUGUCAACGAAUAUGGAUAUAAGUUAGAUACUUAAAGUACCGAUAUAAAUUAGAUAAUUAAACUUUAUGCCCACAAAACUAAAGAUAUUCCUACAUGGAUAAUAAAUCUAAUUAAUAGUAUGUUAAUAUGAUUAUAUAUUUUCUUUAAAAAUCAUGAAUACUAUAUAAAUUAAAUAAGAUUAUAAAUAGAAUCACAUAUUCAGAAAU
rnacentral:lncRNA from 1 species